rnacentral:rRNA from 1 species
CAGUUCGGAUUGAAGGCUGAAAUUCGCCUUCAUGAAGCCGGAAUUGCUAGUAAUGGCAGGUCAGCAUACUGCCGUGAAUACGUUCCCGGGCCCUUGUACACACCGCCCGUCACACCAUGGGAGUUGGGAAUACCCGAAGCCUGUGAGCUAACGUAAGAGGCAGCAGUCGAAGGUAGAAUCAAUGAUUGGGGUGAAGUCGUAACAAGGUAAC